GGUAGGACUACCCGCUGAACUUAAGCAUAUCAUAGCGGGAGGAAA
rnacentral:rRNA from 1 species